UGGGGUAUAGCCAAGCGGUAAGGCACUAGAUUCUGACUCUAGUAUGCGCAGGUUCAAAUCCUGCUACCCUAG
rnacentral:tRNA from 1 species